GGCUUUGUGCUCCUGGAGCUGUAGGUGGGGAUGCUAACCCUGGCUUCCAAGGAUCUGAAGAGGAAGCUGCGGCUGUGACUGUCCCUUUUCGGUCUGUCUUCAUCCUGCCUGACUCACGGGUCUCCUGUCCUCCUGCAUAGCUUGCGGUGGUGAGGUGAUGGCAGCCAUGGACACAGGCCAGAGAGCUGACCCAAGCAAUCCUGGUGACAAGGAAGGGGACCUUCAAGGGCUGUGGCAGGAACUCUACCAGCUCCAGGCUAAAUACCUUCUUUGCUGCCUGGGAGAUGCUGCUAUGGGCGUUUAUUUGAUCUGCUUGUGGCUCAGUUUGCUCAGCAGUGAAAUGAAGGUGCAGAGACUCCUAAGUCUAUGGCCAACUGAUAAAGUGGCAGAAGAAGCUCAAGAGAGAAGUCGAGAAGCACAAGCUUUUUGAAGACUAUCUGAUUAAGGUCCUUGAGAAAAUCCCCGAGGGCUGCUCCAAGCAGCAACAUCUCCUUGAGGGCAGUCUCCCGCCUCGCUCGGUGGUCUUGAUCCAGAAUCCCUGUCUCAGUCUCUGGCUGAACUUUCCAAGGCUGCACGGGAUGGGAGGAGCCGGAGGAGGUGCUGGUGGAGGCCACGGUGAAGCACUACGGGAAGCUCUUCACAGCCAGCCAGGACACGCAGAAGCGCCUCGAGGCCUUCUGCCAGAUGAUCCAGGCUGUCCACCGGAGCCUGGAGUCUCUGGAGGAGGACCACAGGGCUCUCAUGUUGGUAACAGCUGCUUGAAGUCUGCUCCAUUCCCCGUGGCCCAGGGAGCUGGGGGCGUGGGGCCCCCUUUCCUGCAUAGCCCUGGGGAAGGCCUAGAGGGAGCAGCGGCGUAAUGCUGGGGGGCCCUCGGUGGGGCUGUCGCUCCUGAGCCGCCUUCCAUAUCCCCUUCCUCUCCCCUCUGCUGCCUGAGGCUCAGCUCGUGCCUAACGUUGUUCUGCGUGGUAGAAAAGCCAUGUGUCCUGGAUGCAGAGGGACUGGAGCUCGGCUCCCAGCUCAGCCACUGACUAGCUGUGUGACUAGUUUGUAGCCUCUCUGAGCCUCAGUUUCUGCAUCUGUCAAGUGGGGGCAACACACCCUAGUUGCUAGCGUCCUUGCGAGGCACCAAACACAAACUGCCUCAAAAGCCUCAAGAUCCGGCUGUGUCAGCUGCAGAAGAAGUGCUACCGCAAGCAGGAGCAGUGGUGGCAGCUGAAGCACAGCAUCACUUACCAGAAGGACAUUGACUUUGACACACACACCAGCAGCAGCUAUAAUGAUCAGCUGCUCGGCUACAUGCAAAUGACCAUCACCAACAUGGCCCGGCAGUGCUGCCCCUCUGCCCACGGCGUGCCCAAGAGCAUGGAUCUCUUCUCCAAGCUCGAUCUGAUUAAGAGACAGGGUUUCACCAAGUUGGCCAGGCUGGUCUUCAACUCUGACCUCAAGUGAUCCACCUGCCUCGGCCUCCCAAAUUGCUAAGAUUACAGAUGUGAGCCACUGCAUCCGGCCGAGAAUCCAACAGUUUUACUUUGGGUAUGUGUAUGUAUUUGUCCUUUAGGAGUCAUAUCUAAAAAGCCAUUACCUAAUCCAGGGUCAUGAAGAUUUACACCUGUUUCUUGUGAGAAGUUUAUAGUUUUUGCUCUACUGUUUAGGUCUGUGGUUCAUUUUCAGUUGAUUUUUUAAUAUAGUGUAAGGUAGGGGUCCAAUUUCAUUAUUUCGCAUGAGGAUAUUCAGUUGUCCUGAUACCAUUUGUUUAAAAAGUUCUAUUUUUCCCCUUUGAGUUUUCUCAGGACCCUUGUCAAAAAUCAAUUGACCGUAAUAUGAAAAGUUUAUUUCUGGAUUCUUGAUUCUAUUCCAUUCAUCGCUACGCCUGUUUUUAUGCCAGUACCAUACUGUCUUUAUUACUGUGGCUUUGUAAUAAAUAUUAAAAUUGAGAA
ensembl:lncRNA CCDC197 coiled-coil domain containing 197